AUACACAAUCAGAUUGAACAAUGAACACCUAUUUACGCUAAGCUGACCAAAAAACCCUCAACGAAAACACACUAAGCUGACCAAAAGAGCAGAGUAAACAGGAUCGAGAGUUUGUCUCAAUUUCUUACCAGCGAAACACGACCGAGAGUUUGUCUCAGUUACUUACUGUUGGAGGGGAUGAGGACGGAACUGUAAGACGGAGGGAUUAUUUGUACAAAAGAGAGUGAGACAUCGACUGCCGAUCCUGAGAUAGUGAGUCGUGUAUCAGACAUAACCGAAAUAGGAAGAUUCUCCAGAUUUUCUUUCUCAGUUUCUCCUGAUUUUUGGCAAAUGUAGGAGGUUGGACGUGGAUCAGAUAGCCGAAAUAGAUCUUCUUUCUCCGUUUCACCCGUAUUUUAGCUGCCAUUUACCCAGAGGUAGGGUGUGGAUCAGAUGACCGAAGUAGGAAGAUUAUCCCGAUCCAAACCUGUUCCUCCUCAAACUAGAGAGGGGGCGUGGAUCAGAGUAGGAAGAUUAUGCGCUCCAUGUCCGGUUCUCCAUAUCUUCGAAUUUUUUGCUAGGGUCGCCGGCGCCUUUCGAUUUUUGGCAAAAAAAAAGUAAUAAUAAAAGAAGGAGAAAUUAACCUGAGCAAUUAAAUGGCCCACCCAAAUAUACAGACGCCAUCAAUGGAGCAAUUAAUGGCUCACCUUCUUCUCUCAUUUACUCUGCCCCCUCCCUCUUCUCUGCGUUUACCUCCUCUCUCUCUCUAUUUUCUUUCUAGCCCAUUAAGAAUAUGAAAAACCAUAUGAAGCCCAUUAAGAAUAUGAAAAGCCCAGCCCAUUAAUAAUGUGAAAAACCCCAUCAAAUAUGAAAAGUCCCUAUGAAGCCCAUUAAGAAUAUGAAAAGUCCCUAUGAAGCCCAUUAAGAAUAUGAAAAGUCCCUAUGGAGCGAUGCUUAUUCUUGCAAUCUACGUGCCAGGAAGUCCACAUAUGUACCGCUACAUAUGCUUGUUCAGAGGUCAAAAGCUCUCUCAAAAUCCAAAAAAGAGUAGGAAAAAAUUAAGUUAAUGUUCUUCUCCGGUUCAGUUUGUCUUAAUUCAGUGUACUUUCCGCAUAUUUAUCCUUAAUUUUCAUUUUUGAUUGGCUUAGUCUUGUUAAGGACAUUUUGUUUCCUCACUUAAUAAAUUUGUCUACUGAGACUGCUUAAUCUAA